GCCCCUGUAGGCGAAUUGGUAUAGCUACUGGCCUUAGAAGCCAGCGCCGAAAGGCAUUGACGGUUCGAGUCCGUCCAGGGGUA
rnacentral:tRNA from 1 species